rnacentral:rRNA from 1 species
AACGCACCUUGCGCCCCUUGGCUAUUCCGAAGGGCAUGCCUGUUUGAGUAUCAUGAACACCUCAACUCCCAUGGUUUGCCAUGGUGAGCUUGGACUUUGGGGGUUUUGCUGGCCCAUGGCCAGCUCCUCUCAAAUGAAUUAGCCUGCCAGUGUUUGGUGGCAUCACAGGUGUGAUAAAUAUCUACGCUUGCGAUUGCCCACCAUGUAACCUUCAGCAAUGGGGGUUCGCUGGGGCUCAUAGAUGUCUCUCCCUAAGUGAGGACAGUUUUUUAACGUUCGAUCUCAAAUCAGGUAGGACUACCCGCUGAACUUAA